rnacentral:rRNA from 1 species
UACGGAGGGGGCAAGCGUUGUUCGGAAUUACUGGGCGUAAAGGGCGCGCAGGCGGCUGCUCAAGUCAGGCGUGAAAGGCCUGGGCUCAACCCGGGAAUUGCGCUUGAGACUGGGCUGGCUUGAGUGCGGGAGAGGAUGGUGGAAUUCCCAGUGUAGAGGUGAAAUUCGUAGAUAUUGGGAAGAACACCGGUGGCGAAAGCGACUUCCUGGACCAGUACCGACGUUCAGGCACGAAAGCGUGGGGAGCAAACAGG